AUUGAACGCUGGCGGCAUGCCUUACACAUGCAAGUCGAACGGUAACGCGGGGCAACCUGGCGACGAGUGGCGAACGGGUGAGUAAAGCAUCGGAACGUGCCCAGUAGUGGGGGAUCGCCCGGCGAAAGCCGGAUUAAUACCGCAUACGACCUACGGGUGAAAGGGGGGGCUCGCAAGACCUCUCGCUAUUUGAGCGGCCGAUGUCAGUGUAGGUAGUUGGUGGGGUAAAGGCCUACCAAACCGUCCAUCUGUCGCUGGUCUGAGAGGACGAACAUACACACUGGGACUGAGACACGGCCCAGACUCCUACGGGAGGCAGCAGUGAGGAAUUUUGGACAAUGCGCGCAAGCCUGAUCCAGCCAUGCCGCGUGCGGGAAGAAGGCCUUCGGGUUGUAAACCGCUUUUGUCAGGGAAGAAAAGCCUUGGGUUAAUACCCUGGGGUGAUGACGGUACCUGAAGAAUAAGCACCGGCUAACUACGUGCCAGCCGCCGCAGUAA
rnacentral:rRNA from 1 species